ACAGCAGUAGCCACGGGAAUACGUAGGUGGCAAGCGUUGUCCGGAAUUAUUGGGCGUAAAGGGCUCGCAGGCGGUCUCUUAAGUCUGAUGUGAAAGCCCCCGGCUCAACCGGGGAGGGUCAUUGGAAACUGGGAAACUUGAGUGCAGAAGAGGAGAGUGGAAUUCCACGUGUAGCGGUGAAAUGCGUAGAGAUGUGGAGGAACACCAGUGGCGAAGGCGACUCUCUGGUCUGUAACUGACGCUGAGGAGCGAAAGCGUGGGGAGCGAACAGGAUUAGAUACCCGCGUAGUCCCUGUCUCUUAUAA
rnacentral:rRNA from 1 species